ACGCGUAGGAAACUACCCAGUAGUGGGGGACAACAGUUGGAAACGACUGCUAAUACCGCAUACGCUCUACGGAGGAAAGGGGGCUUCGGCUCUCGCUAUUGGAUGUGCCUGCGUAAGAUUAGCUAGUUGGUGAGGUAAUGGCUCACCAAGGCGACGAUCUUUAGCUGGUCUGAGAGGAUGAUCAGCCACACUGGAACUGAGACGCGGUCCAGACUCCUACGGGAGGCAGCAGUGGGGAAUAUUGCACAAUGGGCGCAAGCCUGAUGCAGCCAUGCCGCGUGUGUGAAGAAGGCUUUCGGG
rnacentral:rRNA from 1 species